CCUACGGGAGGCAGCAGUGAGGAAUAUUGGUCAAUGGCCGCAGGGCUGAACCAGCCAAGUCGCGUGAGGGAUGACGGUCCUAUGGAUUGUAAACCUCUUUUGUCAGGGAGCAAAGGGCGCCACGUGUGGCGCUUUGCGAGUACCUGAAGAAAAAGCAUCGGCUAACUCCGUGCCAGCAGCCGCGGUAAUACGGAGGAUGCGAGUGUUAUCCGGAUUUAUUGGGUUUAAAGGGUGCGCAGGCGGAAUGUCAAGUCAGCGGUAAAAUUUCGGGGCUCAACCCCGUCGUGCCGUUGAAACUGGCGUUCUUGAGUGAGCGAGAAGUAUGCGGAAUGCGUGGUGUAGCGGUGAAAUGCAUAGAUAUCACGCGGAACUCCGAUUGCGAAGGCAGCAUACCGGCGCUCAACUGACGCUCAUGCACGAAAGCGUGGGUAUCGAACAGGAUUAGAUACCCGAGUAGUC
rnacentral:rRNA from 1 species